rnacentral:rRNA from 1 species
UACGUAGGGAGCAAGCGUUGUCCGGAUUUACUGGGUGUAAAGGGUGCGUAGGCGGCAAAGCAAGUCAGAUGUGAAAUGUAUGGGCUCAACCCAUGACCUGCAUUUGAAACUGUUUUGCUUGAGUGAAGUAGAGGUAGGCGGAAUUCCCUGUGUAGCGGUGAAAUGCGUAGAGAUAGGGAGGAACACCAGUGGCGAAGGCGGCCUACUGGGCUUUAACUGACGCUGAGGCACGAAAGCGUGGGUAGCAAACAGGAUUAGAUACCCUGGUAGUCCACGCUGUAAACGAUGAUUACUAGGUGUGGGGGGUCUGACCCCUUCCGUGCCGCAGUUAACACAAUAAGUAAUCCACCUGGGGAGUACGGCCGCAAGGUUGAA